rnacentral:lncRNA from 1 species
GCCUUCUCCUGUCUGCCACCACGUGAGAUGUGCCUUUCACCUUCCACUAUGAUUGUGAGGCCUCACCAGCCAUGUGGAACUAGUUCAAGAUUUCAACAUUUUAAGAUAAUCUGAAAAAAAUUGGAAUGUGCCCCCAGCUGCUGGUCCCCAAGCUUUCGAUUGUACUCUCCAACCCGGAAAAGGUGGAACAUGGAUCCCCAAUAUAUGCAUAUUAAUUGGCACAUGAUAUCCAUGUAAUGUUCCACUAAUAGCAAUACUCUCUCAACACUGUUUAUCAAAGGAACCAAUAUGGAAGGAAAAACAUUGCUUUGAAGGGAAGAUGGAUGGAUCCCCUAGUAAACUACAGCUUGAGGUGCAAUUUCCUAAAGUUCAAAUGCCUGAAAAAGGAAACGAAAGAAAGAAACUCAACUCUUGAGACAGCUUCAAUGCUAGCUUUGAUCUCAAUUAUAGAGUUAUUUAUGAAAAGUGCAUUUUUACAACUAAAAAUAAAUUAGGAUCAAAAGCUUCUAGAGGCUAUACUAUGGAGUGCUUAAUAAAAAGUUGAGUAAAGAGUAA